ensembl:lncRNA
AUAAAGCCCUACGCACCAUGGGAGGAUGCAAGGGUGAAUAAGGUUCCCUGCUCUCGGAUCUCCCCACAUAUGAGCCAGAGGGCAGGAUGGCCAAACAGCGUUCCUGACACAGACACAGCUGGCUCCUGCAAGACCGGAAGCAGGUAUCCAGACGCCGCUUCUUCACAAGCUCACUGAUGCUCCACCUUGGCAGUUCUGCUGGUACCGCCUUUCACACCUCCAUUGACUCCAUCCUCCCCAUUCCAUACCCAGAUUCAAGUCCUUAAAGUUUUGGUAGAGCACUCUGGAUGCUCGAUUCUCUGAAAGAAAUCACUUCUGAAAAGCAGACAUUUAACAUUUCCAAUCUGUCUCUGAAGCUGAGAUUAAAUUACAUUCUGUUUUGAAGGAAUCGAAAACACACUUGUUAAUAUAAUAAAUGCUUUCCGAUG